ensembl:lncRNA
GGCAGAAACUGGUCCUGCAGACCUGAACCGCCGUCGUCUCCGUUCUGGCCCCUGGAGCGCGGAGCUGGUGGGAGGCGGUAUGAGCCACGUUCACGCACAGGGUUCUCCGUGGCUCUCCUUGUCCCUGGCCUUCCCACCCCUGGACCCCAAGAGCAGUGCUCAGACUUGGGCGUCGGUCUGGGGGCCUGGGGACUUGCUGAGUCCUGGACACCGGGUCCUGCCCUGCGGCUCCAGGUCACCACCACCUCCAGAGCGCACACCUGCUCUGGCCAAGACGGGACACGAACCCCUGCCUCCGUGGUGUUAACCUGCAGCACCCAGCCCUGCCCUCUGUCAGGGCUCCGGGAGCUCACGCCGCAUGGACCAAGCCUAACCUGCUCACGGGCUCACUUGCGGAGGAGAGGCGAGAAUCUCUCGCCUUGCCUGGGGCCAGCAGGGACCACAUGGCGAGGACACCGGAAGCCUGGGCUCACCGGGCAGCGCUGGCGGCGUCUCCCCAGGCCUUUCCCGCCGUCACCUCUGAUGCUCGGGUGCAGAGCUGCCCACGGGCUGCGCCUGGACGGGUGUUUGUCCCCCACCCACCCCCGGUCUCUGUGGCUCCUCUUUGCAUGUGGGGACGGCGGGGCCCCUGGUUUAAAACGUCCGUGUGACACUGCGGGUAACACCGCUGGAGACCCAAAGUCGUCAUUUCACAAGUGUCCUUGGUCUUCCUUCGGCUCGAGGUGGGUGAUUGGAAUUGUGGCGUCAGAAACGCAGAAACAAAGUGCACGCAAGCCUUUGGCGCUGUGCCCGGAGAGCACUUUCUACAGGAUUCUCCUCGCCCGUCGCUCCUCCGCGGACAGUGUGCAGGUGGCAGAAGGCCCUGCCAGGGCCCUUGGGAAGACCACCAUGGCGCUGUUUCAGACGUGAAGACUGACAAUCUCUGGCGGAGGGACCCAAGAGGACCCGGAGGACAGAUCCCCUUGUCGUGAGGAAUGUAGAUGCUGGCGCCUCCAUUCACCGGCUUCAGGGCUGGUCGGAACCCCCGGCACCUGCCCCAAGAGCACGGAGAAGAAGGGAACGUGCAGAGCCUUCCCCCAGGGCCAGGGCAGUGCGCACAUCUCGAAGCUGAGUCUCCCGGGCGGGCCAGCACCGCAGCUGCCAUGGACAGUCACUGAGUCCCGCCUGGGCGGAGGGCGUGCGCUGCCCACCCCGAGCGGAGGCCCCUGCAGCCCAGCCCUGGCUGCCCGUCCCAGGACCUUCCCUGCCCCCGGCCGGGCUGCUGUCCCGACACCAGUAAGACUGCCGACUGAGCAUGGCGACACCCCAGUGACACUAGCCUCCACCUAAUGAGCACCUACUCUGUGCAGGACACUUCCCAGCAUCGGGUGUGUCCUCAUUCACACCUGUGUCUGCACGGGCCGCUUGCCAACAGGACACAAGCCCUGAGGGUGGCGAGGGAACUGGAACUCGGCCGUGAGGUGGACGCAGCUGAGAGGGGCCUGCACCCCGCCCCCCAGGCCCAAAAGGCUGUCCCAGGAGGACACCCCCCUCCUGCCACCGUUACCCCGCCGGCAGAACGAGGCUCAGGGAGCCGUCACUUUUCUCAUCCAUUCUGGAAUGUUAGCACUUGGACCUGUUUAGAAACAACCACUUCACUCCCAUCGGGAGGGCAGGCAUCACAACAGUGACAGUGACCAGUGCUGGCCAGGAUGCAGGGACAGGAACCCCCCGUGCGGGGCUGGUCGGGGGGAUCGUCACGGGGUGGGGGGCACCCACUGUGGGAACAGCCUGGAGGCUCCUGCACACGCGCAGCACAGGCUCACCCCCUUGGCCCGGCAGUCCCGCUCCUGCGUUGGUACCCAGAGCAGCAGGAACGGGGACUCAGAGGCUGGGACGUGGUGUUAGGAGCAUUUUCACCGAGUUCAAAAGGGUGAGACAACCCAGGUGGUCUGUCAGCAGGUGGCGGGAUCGAAAUAGAGCUCGUCCAUGGGAUGGAAUAUUAUUCAGCCCUGAAAACAAUACUGACAAUCUGGACGCACCCCGAAAAUGUGGUGCUGCCUUUCCCACUGUGGCUCUGCGGGGUGUCUCUGUGCACCCUGUGAGUCUGACUCGUGUGUGCAAACAUGUGUGCGUGUGUCUAUGGCUCAGUCCAUUCAGGCUGCUAUUUUAAAAGUACCUGAGCUUGCAACACAGCAAUGGGAGAAAAAAUUAUGUAUACAUGUGUGUGUAACUUGGUCCCCAUGCUGUACAGUGGGAAAAAAAAACAUUAAAAAAAGUACCAGAGGGUGAAGAAAAAUAAAUAAAAAUUUAAAAAAAGG